GUUACGGUGCCCAAAUUAACAACUUAUGCAGAUACCAUGAAAGGAUUUGGUUGCUUAAAACAGCAGGACGGUGGACGUGGAAGUCGCAAUCCGCUAAGGAGUGUGUAACAACUCACCCGCCUGGUUUUUCUUUCUUUAGGGAAUUUAUUAUUACGAAAAU
rnacentral:ncRNA from 1 species